UAAUCGCGCAUACCGCUCUCAGGCUGGAACUGCCGAGAGCGCGAAAUGCUCCGGCGCCAGAGGAUGUGGCUGCGGCCGAUUAGGUAGACGGUGGGGUAACGGCCCACCGUGCCAGUAAUCGGUACGGGUUGUGAGAGCAAGAGCCCGGAGACGGUAUCUGAGACAAGAUACCGGGCCCUACGGGGCGCAGCAGGCGCGAAACCUUUACACUGCACGCCAGUGCGAUAAGGGGACUCCAAGUGCGAGGGCAUAGAGCCCUCGCUUUUCUGUACCGUAAGGUGGUACAAGAAUAAGUGCUGGGCAAGACCGGUGCCAGCCGCCGCGGUAAUACCGGCAGCACGAGUGAUGGCCGCUCUUAUUGGGCCUAAAGCGUCCGUAGCUGGCCGCGCAAGUCCAUCGGGAAAUCCGCACGCCUAACGUGCGGGCGUCCGGUGGAAACUGCGUGGCUUGGGACCGGAAGAUCCAGAGGGUACGUCCGGGGUAGGAGUGAAAUCCUGUAAUCCUGGACGGACCACCGGUGGCGAAAGCGCUCUGGAAAGACGGAUCCGACGGUGAGGGACGAAAGCUCGGGUCACGAACCGGAUUAGAUACCCGGGUAGUCCGAGCUGUAAACGAUGUCUGCUAGGUGUGCCACAGGCUACGAGCCUGUGGUGUGCCGUAGGGAAGCCGUGAAGCAGA
rnacentral:rRNA from 1 species